AUGAACGCUGGCGGCGUGCCUAAUACAUGCAAGUCGAGCGAACGGACGAGAAGCUUGCUUCUCUGAUGUUAGCGGCGGACGGGUGAGUAACACGUGGAUAACCUACCUAUAAGACUGGGAUAACUUCAGGAAACCGGAGCUAAUACCGGAUAAUAUUUUGAACCGCAUGGUUCAAAAGUGAAAGACGGUCUUGCUGUCACUUAUAGAUGGAUCCGCGCUGCAUUAGCUAGUUGGUAAGGUAACGGCUUACCAAGGCAACGAUGCAUAGCCGACCUGAGAGGGUGAUCGGCCACACUGGAACUGAGACACGGUCCAGACUCCUACGGGAGGCAGCAGUAGGGAAUCUUCCGCAAUGGGCGAAAGCCUGACGGAGCAACGCCGCGUGAGUGAUGAAGGUCUUCGGAUCGUAAAACUCUGUUAUUAGGGAAGAACAUAUGUGUAAGUAACUGUGCACAUCUUGACGGUACCUAAUCAGAAAGCCACGGCUAACUACGUG
rnacentral:rRNA from 1 species